rnacentral:tRNA from 1 species
GGCCUCACAGCUGAGAUGGUAGAGCGUGCGCUGUACAGAAACGUAGGCGGUGUCUAUGUGUGGGUUCAAAUCCCACCGAGGCCA